GCACUGGCAAAAUCCAGUGCCGGGAUUCGCAGCCCGAAUUGUUCCAGAGGCGCAUGUCGCCAGCUUAUCGCUGGUUUUUU
rnacentral:sRNA from 1 species